rnacentral:lncRNA from 1 species
UCUCUUCUUUGGAAUUAAUAAUAUGAUUCACUCAAGCAGACYUUCCUUGUAGGUCUUGUUAUCUAGACCCUUGAGCGUUCCCAGUGUUCUUCUCUGGACCUUCCCAAUUGGGAUCCUCGGCUUCAAACUGCACAGCACCCAACACUGGACACAGCACACCAGCUGGAGCCUUCCUGGGAUGACAAAAGUGGAAGAAUUGCUUGCAAUGUGCUACAGCCUGCACUCCUGUUCCUGCAUCCUUGUGUGGUAUUUAGCUUCUUUGCGUGACAUUGGUAGCUUCUAUAAGCUUAUAGAUAUCACCUGCAGCACGACUUCAAACAGCAAGCACUUAAGCUUUGAAAGCUAAAUAUUAAGCAGAGGCUCACAUUUUUACUAGACAUGAUGCAAUUUCAAUGAUCAACUGCACUGAAUAUGCAGCUUCACAUGUCUGAAAGCAGGAACAGCCAGGAGUGAGACAGAGGAUUUAUGAUGGAAAAUUUUGAAAAUUCGUCAUGGAAGGCUGUUUACAGAGAAGCAUUGGUGAAGAAAUUGCCAUGUCACCAACUUCAGUCCUUCUAGAUUCCCUUCAUAGUCAAAGAAGAGGAACUGACCUACCUAAGCAUGGUCAUCAGAUGACUCAUGACCUUGAUGUACCCAUUACUCUCCACAGACUAUACAGAACCUCUAAACAACCAGUUGAGAAAAAUGGAAAACCAUAA